AAUGCUGGACUUAAACACCAAUCGAUGUAGAAAAUAGGUGUGUUCUGAUUGCUGGAACAGGUAAUAUAUAAGCAUUAGUCGAAGGAGGUGAACUUAGUGUAUAUUUAAAGGAUGCUAGUUUGGUGGAGAAAA
rnacentral:ribozyme from 1 species